CACUCCAUACCUUCAUUAAUACUGUCUACGUUAAAUCUAAAUGCCUGAAUUUCAAUUUAAAACGUUUUGUGUCUGUGAUUUAACACAGAGUUUAUUUUGAUCAACAAAUAAUGGUAAAUUCCGUUGACAUACAGGACAGCGACGUUAAAGAACAAUACUUAGAAAGCCAUUUUUUUAAAAAUUGAGAAAGUAGCAACAUAGUUGAAAUUUGUAUCCUCCACUACGGUUAAUCAAUAGUUGUUGAGACUCGUAAACAGUCUUUUUUUUGCUAUCAAUAUUAUGUAGUGGAUUUAAUCUACGUUAUACCAGACUACCAGAAGCUUUCAUCUUGUUUGUAUGUACAUUUUUUAUUAUUGCAAUUAAAAACGUGAUUGUUCGUGAUUUUUUUUUCGUACACAAAUAAUAGUAAAUACAAUUCUCUGACAAAGGACAGAUAAAAUGCUGUUCUUGCUUACAAACAAAAACAUUUUGAUCAGCCACCAUUUUACGAGUCAAAGGAUGAUUUAUAAUACCGAUGAAAUACAAUGCAUUUUUUUUUUCAAACACGUCAUGUGUGUUGACGUCUAUUAGUCAUAACUCAUAGAGUAUAAUAAUAUAAAGUGACUAAUGAUUACAAUAAUAUGAUAUACAUUUUUUUUUUUUUUUUGAUUCGAUUUCAAUUGUUUUGAUCUUUUGUGGAAACAAAAAUUUAAAUAAAUAUUGA